AUUGAACGCUGGCGGCAUGCUUUACACAUGCAAGUCGAACGGUAACAGCACUUCGGUGUCUGCCGAGUGGCGAACGGGUGAGUAAUACAUCGGAAUGUGCCUAGAAGUGGGGUAUAACUACGCGAAAGAGUAGCUAAUACCGCAUGAGAUCUAAGGAUGAAAGCAGGUGACCUUAGGGCAUUUCGCUACUAGAGCGGCUGAUGGCAGAUUAGGUAGUUGGUGGGAUAAAAGCUUACCAAGCCGACGAUCUGUAGCUGGUCUGAGAGGACGAGCAGCCACACUGGGACUGAGACACGGCCCAGACUCCUACGGGAGGCAGCAGUGGGGAAUUUUGGACAAUGGGCGCAAGCCUGAUCCAGCAAUGCCGCGUGCAGGAUGAAGGCCUUCGGGUUGUAAAGUGCUUUUGUACGGAACGAAAAGCCCUAGUCUAAUACAGGAGGGUCAUGACGGUACCGUAAGAAUAAGCACCGGCUAACUACGUG
rnacentral:rRNA from 1 species